rnacentral:piRNA from 1 species
AUGUAUUGGACACUAGCUGCUCU